UUAGCUGUAAACGAUGGACACUAGGUGUGGGAGGUUAUCGACGCUUUCCGUGCCGAAGCUAACGCAUUAAGUGUCCCGCCUGGGGAGUACGGCCGCAAGGCUAAAACUCAAAGGAAUUGACGGGGGCCCGCACAAGCGGCGGAGCAUGUGGCUUAAUUCGACGCAACGCGAAGAACCUUACCAAGGUUUGACACCAUACUGAAAGUAAUAGAAAUAUUGCUGCCCGCAAGGGCAGUAUGACAGGUGG
rnacentral:rRNA from 1 species